UGAACUGUCAUCAUCAGUUAGGACUGGGUUCAUCAGCCAAAUUUCACCUGUACAACAUGUCUACUUUUAUUUUAUACUGCUAUAAACUAUACUAUCGGAUAAAAUGGACUGUGGUAAUGUCUGGAGUUGAAGAAAGUACAGGCAGAGAUUGCUGCCUUUGGCAGCCCAUCACAGUCAUCUUAAGUACAUGUUUGGCCCAGGGGUAACAGGAGGUUGCCUUGUUUGUGUAGCAGUGGAGCUUUAGAGCCACCCCAUUAAGGGACAGCACUGUUUCUCCUCUUUAAAGAAAGGAGGAGAAAGGGGACUCUAAGAGUUACUGUUUUUGCAACCAGUCUGCAUUCAGCUGGAAUGAUGCUUUCUCCACACGAGUGGGCAUGUCAGAAUACUGACACUGGCAGUAGCCUUUCAUUACUGAUGUUCAAGCUGAAUUCUGUACCCAUAAAAGUAAACCAUUGCUGAUUCUAGAAAUACUCCUACAUACACUUGUAUUACUACCAUCAUUAGUGCCAGUACAGAAGCUACAGUUGAAACUGAUGAGGGGAAGAUCAGUCAUGCUUGAAACUUGUUCCAUGAAAUGGUGCGUUAUAUUGCAAGAUUUUAAUAUGCACACCUUUAGUGAAAGUUUGUAGGAAAGUCCUAGAAGUGGUAAUGAAACCUCAAAUGGCACUGCAGUAGUGAUACUGUGCUCUUAGCACUUCCUGGUCAUUGCUGUCCCAGAGUUCCAAUUUGCUGUCCUUACACAAGACACAGUGGAUACAUUCAAUGUUGAGAUAGUAGCAGCUUCCUUACUAUGCUAUGACUUAGCACUGGUGAAGUAAAAAUUGUGUAUUUGGCAUUUGGUCAUUGAUAUGAUCAUUAACUUUUUUAAAUGAAAAAUUUUACGUUGUUGGCAUGAACAUUACAAGGGUUUAUUAAAUUAUUUGCUUGUCAUCUCUGACAAAGUGCUAAACAAAGUUCUACAGCUAGUCAUCUAGAAACAAGGGGUGGCAUUGCCAAGCAUAGUAGCACUUCCUAAACACUGUCAAAUGUGUUGCAGAGAAAGUCAGUAUGGUUGAUUGGUACAGCUGUCAAAUUGCUCAAAUACAGAGAUUGAUGCUUUGUCAGUUGUGUACGGAGACGAUUACUCUGAAGUUCAGGAGUAUGGACUGCUUUCUGCUCUGGUGUUUUGUGAUAACCAGACUAUUUAUAGAAAGAUCGUUACCAGAAGGAUAUGCAGAUGGACCUUGCAGAAGGGAGGAUCCUUCUAGAAAUAGUCUGGUUAUCACACAACUAUAUGUCAGAGCAGAAAGCAUCUUACAGGCAUUUUGAAAUGUUUUUGUAGCCAGGUAAAUACAAAGUAUGGAGAACAGAAUUGCAACCCAGUAUGUGGAUUUCCAUGCUGUCAGCUUUGGAAGCAUUCAGUUGCUUUUGUGCAAAUUCAGCAAUGUGGAAAGGACUGCAUGUUCUUAGUGCUUCACAGUGACACCCAACACACGUGGUGUGAAAGGUUCUUGAUCAGGAUGGACUUCCAGAACCCUUUUACUGUCAAAGAGGUCACAAAACAGUCUGCAUCCUUUGCCACUUCUGAUUAACAUUUCGUUUGUCGAGUCAACAGGAAAGGCGUCCACAUUCAAUACCACAUAGAUGGCAGAAUAUUUAACCUGAACAUUAAAUCAAAGGUCGUAUAUCUGCUGAAUUGUGUUACUUGCUCUUUGGUGAUGACUGAGUAUUGGUUAUUCACACAUAUGUAAGCAGAUGACAUAUUAUUGACUGUUUCAGCCCCUCUGCCAAGUGGUUUGGCCAGGCCAUUAGCAUAGAG